CUUGAGCCACAGCUGCACUUCUGACACGUGAAAUUUUUAGACAAAAUUGGAUAAAGAGCAAGUGGUCAUCUAAAUACAUGACUUUCAUCUUGACAGUGCGAGAAUUACGAAGGCUAAUGAAAUAGCAAUGGUUGAUCAUCACUUACAGGAUGUAAAUGAGGUGUUUCCCUUUGUUGGCAGAGUUCCAAGCUUUGACCAGAAAUAGGGCAUCCCUGCUGUCUAACUCUGCAGCUGUACGUGUGGGCCAAUCAAUAAAAAAGUCUUACAGGGUC